rnacentral:rRNA from 1 species
GGACCUAGGUAUCCAAAAGGCACUGGAUCCCAGCUGAAUUUGGAAGCUAAGCAAGGUCAGACCUGGUUAGUACUUUGAUGGGAGACCGCCAAUGAGUCCCAGGCCCGGUGUGCC